AUUAAGGAAGGCACACAGUCCUCUCCCGAUUCUUAGGAACCCAAGCUCAGUCCCCAACCCCCAACGCAAACACGCAAACACACACAGUCCAGAGCCAACGGAGGGACAUCCUUAGGAACAUCAGGCUGAAGCCCAAAGUGCUCAAUUUAAGAAGAAAAAAAAGGUUACGGGAGACUUUACACACAGAAAGAAAGUGACAUGAAGGAAAAACGGCACUUAAAAAUGGCAGCCUUGAAGACGGAAGUGGUGUGUCCACCCGUCAAAGGACGCUGGUCGCCACCGGAAGCUCUGUGAGGCAAGGAACCGAUUGUGCUAGGAGCCUCUGACGGAGGCAGGGCCCUGCUGGCGCCUGAUUUGGGCCCCGUGAGGCUGACUUUGGACUUUUGAGCUCCAGAACUAUCAGAGAAUAAAGUGCGUUAUUUUAAGUCA